AUCCUUUUGGCUUGUUGUUUCAUUUCCUUCAGCUCUCUAUUCAGAUGUCUCCCUCUCACCCAGGUCUCUGCGGACCACCUGAUAUAAAGUGCCAUGCUGUGAGCUGCCCAAGGGACAGGCCCAUGUGGCAAGGAAUGGACCUCAACCAAGAACCCUCAGAACUGAAUCCCUCCAACAAAAAAGAGAGAGAGCUUGGAAGCAAAUCCUUCCCUAAGCAGAUCCUUCCCCAGUCAAGCCUUAAGAUGAGAAUGCAGCCCCAGCCAACACCUGGACUGUGGCCUAUGAGAGGCCCCAAAGCAGAGGACCUAACUAAGCCACACCUGGAUCCCAACCUACAGAAAUCAUGAGUUAAUAAAUGUUGUUUCAAGCCA